CCUAACACGUACGGAUUUUUGACCAAGAAAUGGUCUCCACCAGAAAUCCAAGAAUGUGAUCUAUGGCAAGGAAACAUAUGUGGGGUGAGGUGUAUGAGCCUCUGGUCGAUGAUAAAUGGCCACACAACCCCCAUUUUAGUCGAAAAUAGCCAUGAACGACCAUUUUCAAUAAUACCGAAGGCUAACACCAACGGAUUUUUGACCAAGAAAUGGUCUCCACCAGAAAUCCUAGAAUGUGAUCUCUGGCAAGAAAACAUAUGUGGGGUGAAGUGUACGAGCCUCUGGUCGAUGAUCAAUGGCCACACAAACCCCAUUUUUGUCGAAAAUAGACAUGAACGACCAUUUCAAUGACAUUGAAGGCUAACACCUACGGAUUUUUGACCAAGAAAUGGUCUCCACAAUAAAUCCAAGAAUGUGAUCUAUGGCAAGGAAACAUAUGUGUAGUGAGGUGUAUGAGCCUUUGGUCGAAUAUCAAUGGCCACACAACCCCCAUUUUUGUCGAAAAUAGCCCUGAACGACCAAUUUCAAUAGAACUGAAGGCUAAAACAUUCAGAUUUUUGACCAAGAAAUGGUCUCCACCAGAAAUCAAAGAAUGUGAUCUAUGGCAAGGAAACAUAUGUGGAGUGAGGUUUACGAGCCUCUGGUCGAUGAUCAAUGGCCACACAACCCCCAUUUUUGUCGAAAAUAGCCAUGAAUGACCAUUUUCAAUAAUACUGAAGGCUAACACGUACAGAUUUUUGACCAAUAAAUGGUCUCCACCGAAAAUCCAAGAAUGUGAUCUAUGGCAAGGAAACAUAUGUGGGGUGAGGUGUACGAGCCUCUGGUCGAUGAUCAUUGGCCUCAAAACCCCCAUUUUUGUCGAAAAUAGCCAUGAAUGACCAUAUUCAAUAAUACCGAAGGCUAACACGUACGGAUUUUUGACCAUUAAAUGGUCUCCACCAGAAAUCCAAGAAUGUGAUCUAUGGCAAGGAAACAUAUGUGGGGUGAAUUGCACGAGCCUGUGGUCGAUGAUAAAUGGCCACACAACCCCCAUUUUAGUCGAAAAUAGCCAUGAACGACCAUUUUCAAUAAUACCGAAGGCUAACACCAACAGAUUUUUAACCAAGGAAUGGUCUCCUCCAGAAAUCCAAGAAUGUCAUCUAUGGAAAGAAAACAUAUGUGGGGUGAAGUGUACGAGCCUCUGGUCGAUGAUCAAUGGCCACACAACCCCCAUUUUUGUCGAAAAUAGCCAUGAACGACCAUUUCAAUGACACUGAAGGCUAACACCUACGGAUUUUUGACCAAGAAAUAGUCUCCACAAUAAAUCCAAGAAUGUGAUCUAUGGCAAGGAAACAUAUGUGUAGUGAGGUGUAUGAGCCUUUGGUCGAAUAUCAAUGGCCACACAACCCCCAUUUUUGUCAAAAAUAGCCAUGAACGACCAUUUUCAAUAGUACC
rnacentral:lncRNA from 1 species